rnacentral:tRNA from 1 species
GCGAGUGUGGCGAAAUUGGCAGACGCACUAGACUUAGGAUCUAGCGCCCUACGGCAUGGGGGUUCAAGUCCCUUCACUCGCACCA